rnacentral:sRNA from 1 species
AACACUCACCAGACCAAUCUGAACUGGACUAAUGUUCAUGCCAUCAACUUGACGCUGGUGAAUGUGACAAGUGAGGACAAUGGCUUCACCCUGACGUGCAUUGCAGAGAACGUGGUGGGCAUGAGCAAUGCCAGUGUUGCCCUCACUGUCUACUAUCCCCCACGUGUGGUGAGCCUGGAGGAGCCUGAGCUGCGCCUGGAGCACUGCAUCGAGUUUGUGGUGCGUGGCAACCCCCCACCAACGCUGCACUGGCUGCACAAUGGGCAGCCUCUGCGGGAGUCCAAGAUCAUCCAUGUGGAAUACUACCAGGAGGGAGAGAUUUCUGAGGGCUGCCUGCUCUUCAACAAGCCCACCCACUACAACAAUGGCAACUAUACCCUCAUUGCCAAAAACCCACUGGGCACAGCCAACCAGACCAUCAAUGGCCACUUCCUCAAGGAGCCUUUUCCAGGUUGUGGUGAAGAUUAAUUUACAGAAGGGGCCCUUCUUGAAGAGUUAUGAUCUGGGACUGUAGGAGACAUGUGUAUUCCCUUCAUGG